rnacentral:rRNA from 1 species
GAACGAGAAAGCCCAAGUGUAGCAAUACAUGAGGGUGAGUAAAGUGGCGUACGGGUGAGUAACACGUAGCUAACCUGCCCUUGAGUCGGGGAUAACCUGGGGAAACCCGGGCUAAUACCCCCCAACAUUCCGACUUCACAAGGAGAUGGAAUCAAAGGCCCGCAAGGGUCGCUCGAGGAGGGGGCUGCGGCCGAUUAGCUAGUUGGAGGGGUAAUGGCCCACCAAGGCGAUGAUCGGUAGCCGGCCUGAGAGGGCGCACGGCCACACUGGCACUGAAACACGGGCCAGACUCCUACGGGAGGCAGCAGUGGGGAAUUUUGCACAAUGCCCGAAAGGGUGAUGCAGCAACGCCGCGUGAGGGAUGAAGGCCUUCGGGUCGUAAACCUCUUUCGAUCGGGAAAAAUGGGCGGGUGAAUAACCCGUUCUGAU